GCAAUCAUAGCUCAGUUGGUUAGAGCACUCACUUUAAAAGUGGGAGGUCUUAAGUUCAAGCCUCAAUGAAUUCCA
rnacentral:tRNA from 1 species